CAAAAGAAGAAGUUCAUAGGAAGAAGUAGUAGAUGGUCACAGGUCAUGAGCCGGUAUGGUGAUUGUGGAAGGAAGGAGAGAGAGAGAAGGAAGGUACACUGGAUUAGAGUAAGGUCACCAGAGAAAGAGGUCACAGUCACAAAGACAAACAACAAGAUUUCAGGUGAAGAGGUCAGUGCUGUUAUCAUGAGAUGAUGAGGGUGCAAUCUGUGACUGCAUUGAUCUCAGCAAUGGUAAAAAAGCCUCCAUAUGUUGUCCAAUUUUUAGGAACCGUUGGAUGAAUGUCUGUACCUCCACAGACAGGACAUGUGAAAUCCCUCAGAGACCGUUCUAAUCCAUCAGCCAGAUGACACUGAGUGAAGUGUGAUGUAAUGGAUUCUACCAGGAAGGCUGCUAAAGCUAACCAACCAAACCUUGAUCCCCUGUCUUUCAGAGGCAAUAUGCAGUAACUAUGCCAACACUGAAGAAAGAAAACUGGCUUUAAAGUUUUUGAUUAAAUUCAUAUCAAAUUUCACACUCCAUUAUCUUUGGAUAUGAGAAGAGUUGAGCUAAAGCUGCCUGUCACAGGACAGAUAAGGGUCUAAAAGACCUUCUGUGGCCAGUUACAUAAACUGCAUAGACUAGUCUCAUAAAUCAUAUAAUUUUGACUGGUCAUAACCUUUUAAAUAAUUUACAUAAAACAUAAAAUGGCCUAAUUUGAAUCUGAAAACUAUAAGACCCCC
ensembl:lncRNA